GACGAACGCUGGCGGCGUGCUUAACACAUGCAAGUCGAACGGAAAGGCCCUGCUUUUGUGGGGUGCUCGAGUGGCGAACGGGUGAGUAACACGUGAGUAACCUGCCCUUGACUUUGGGAUAACUUCAGGAAACUGGGGCUAAUACCGGAUAGGAGCUCCUGCUGCAUGGUGGGGGUGGGAAAGUUUCGGCGGUUGGGGAUGGACUCGCGGCUUAUCAGCUUGUUGGUGGGGUAGUGGCUUACCAAGGCUUUGACGGGUAGCCGGCCUGAGAGGGUGACCGGCCACAUUGGGACUGAGAUACGGCCCAGACUCCUACGGGAGGCAGCAGUGGGAAAUAUUGCACAAUGGGCGGAAGCCUGAUGCAGCAACGCCGCGUGCGGGAUGACGGCCUUCGGGUUGUAAACCGCUUUCGCCUGUGACGAAGCGUGAGUGACGGUAAUGGGUAAAGAAGCACCGGCUAACUACGUG
rnacentral:rRNA from 1 species